AUACUCUGGUUUCUCUUCAGAUCGUAUAAAUCUUUCGCCUUUUACUAAAGAUUUCCGUGGAGAGGAACAUUUAUGAGUUUGGACCAAUUUUUUGAGGCUUUGCUUCGGCGGAGCC
rnacentral:snRNA from 1 species